GAAGCUCCCUUCAUCCACAGUCAUUAGGAAAAGGCAUGACUUUCCCACAUCUCAUAACACUAAAAGGAGAGCCAGCAUAUUCAGGCUUUCAGACUGUCAGCAGUAGCAGUACACACAGGAGCAAAACGUGUCAUCUCAGGAACAAGUUGGGCCAUGGGGCCAUUACAGAGAUG